CGCAGCCGCAAUGGCGGCGCACGGAGGGGAGAGGGAGCCCUGAGGAGACGGCGAGACCCGGAAUCCCGUCUGGCGGCCGCCCACAGCAGACGUCCCCUUCCAGACCCUCGCCGUGGCCGACUCGCAGCGCCAGCGCCCCGAGCCGGCCUCCCUGAGCUCGCAGGAGGAUCUCGAGCUUAUUACAGUUGGCCAACUCGGAAUUGGAGCUGGGGCAAACGUCUCCAAGUCAGCAGCCUCUCACCACCGCUUCCACUUCACCUACGGGGUUGUUGACCGGGACCCCGCCUCCCGGGGCUGACUGAAGGCGGGUCUCCUCCUCGUCCUCUCCUUCGUCAAAGGUCAUCUCAGGGUCUCCUCAAGUACCACCAACUCCUCCACGAGGGUCUCCUGCUGUACCACCAACUCCUCCACCAGCGUCUCAAGUACCACCAACUCCUCUACCAGAGUCUCCUCUUCCUCCAGCACCAC